GUCACAGAUAGCCUACCUGGUAAAGUUUCGGGCGCGCGACCAGAUGAACCGGGUUCGAGUCCCGGUCUAGACU
rnacentral:tRNA from 1 species